rnacentral:rRNA from 1 species
UACGGAGGAUGCGAGCGUUGUUCGGAAUUACUGGGCGUAAAGGGCGCGUAGGCGGCCUGAUAAGUCGGGGGUGAAAGCCUGUGGCUCAACCACAGAAUUGCCUUCGAUACUGUUAGGCUUGAGACCGGAAGAGGUAAGUGGAACUGCGAGUGUAGAGGUGAAAUUCGUAGAUAUUCGCAGGAACACCAGUGGCGAAGGCGGCUUACUGGUCCGGUUCUGACGCUGAGGCACGAAAGCCAAGGGAGCAAACAGG